CUGGAAGACAUGCGCUCGGGUGGUGAAGAUGGGCUGUUCUCUGCAAUAAGAGAGUGGGCGUAUAAUAGAAUUGCACAUAGAGAACACCCAAGAAAAUCAACUGAAAAAGAUAUCACCAAGGUGGCCUCAAGAAUUGAUAGGAUCCCAGCCACAAGUGAAGGUAUGUUACCAGCUAGAGCAGGCUGAGAGCAGAACAGCUGCCCUUUAUCUUGGGGAAAUAGCACAGGCACCUGUCCCUCCUCUCCCAGGGCCCCAGGGGGAACUGCUGGAACAGCCCUUUCCUUCGCACCCAAGGACAUGGCACAUGAUACCAAAGACACAUGCAGGAAGGUGCAAGCGGGGAAGAUCCGCCCCCGUGGGGACAGCAGCAAACCCCAGUGUAUGUGAGAGGGAGAAGUUACGUGUUUAGAAUAUUAUGAGAUUGAGGCAUUUAAGGGAAGUCUUCAAGGAAGGAAAACUAGUUAAGAAGAAUAAACCCAUUGUUCUACAGCCAUGGUGAGCUUGCUGUAAACACUUGGAAACAGUGUGCCUCCCACCAGCCUUUCAUAUGCUGCAGGCCUAUGCACACAGUAGGCCCAAAAUACUUGCUAAACUAGAUUAUUUGGCUUUAAAAUUAUAUCACAUGUGCCCAGCAAGGCAAAACUCAUCUCUAUUAUUUCCCACAAUGUCAAGGGCAAAAGUGAAAUCAACCUCAUCUGGUCUAAGACAGGUGUGGGGGCCCCAAAUCCUUAUAGUUUAGGGGCGAGACUGCUGCUGAGACUAGAGCCCUGCAGGACUGGGUCAGCCUGCUCCUCAGCUGGACCAUCUACUCCGAGGAGCAGCUCGGAGCAGGAUCAUGGAGAACACCUGGGCAGCAAAUGGCCCAGAGCUAACUAGGGACUAAAAGCAGGCAGCAUUGCCCGAGCCGCAUUACACACUCAUCAAAGUCCCAGUGUCUACUCUCAUAAGAAUCCUUCAAAAAUCUAACGCUUGACCCUAGGGACACAGAGAUAUAUAGACGCCAUCCCUCCCGGACAGCACUCACUGGCAGUGACUCAGGAUGAGUACUGGGUGCAGAAACUCCAGCACCUGAGGGUACAGAUACUCAGGCCACGGUGCUCUGGGGUUCAGGUGUCACAGCCAGAGGUCUUUGCCAGGGAUCCUCUAGAGCAGGCAGAUGCUAUUCUCAGGACAGUGUGAUCAUGUUGGGACAGUGCCCACGGGACAGGAUACCACAGUGCUCAGAUUUCUCUCCUACCAGGGCCUCAUUUCCGUGUCCUACUUGAGUAUCAGGCCCCACCUCAGCAGGUGAGGCUGGGUGGUCUGGUGGGGGCUCAUUCCCUUAGUUCUUCUCCAUGGGGUUUCCCCUCCACACUCACCUCCACAGCUUUGAGGACAUGUCUAUGUGAUGACACCUGAAUGUGUACCUCCAGCCCAGGUGUCUCUCCUGAACCCCAUGCUUGCACCUUACCUCCCUGCUGCUGUUCUCCCUGCACCCCUAUUUCAGUGACUCACACCACUGGAUCUGUCACUAUGGCAGAAACCUGGGAAUCUCACACCCAGCACACAGCAGGAACAUCUCCCUCGCUGUCCUCUCCUCAGCAGCCCAGGCUGUCAGCCUCCUACCUAGUAGUGUCCUCCAAUGGGCCACAGGUGUGUUGAACUCGGCCCCGUAAAUGGCUGUGCAGGGCACAACUCUGAGUGUCAAUCAUGAAAGACACGCAGACUCAUUACAUCAACUGCCUGGCAGAUCACAGAUUUCCAGAAGGUGUCUUAAAGAAGCGUUUUUUUCUAAUUUGUACAAAGAUGUCACUUGUCCUGGGAAGAAGUAGCCUGCUGAGAAGGGGAUCUCAACCCUCAGGGUGCAGAGCAGGGCCUGGGCCACAGGAGUCCCAGGGCUGGGCACUGUUUUGUCCAUUUGCCUAGGUGCUGUAAACAUAUUUUCCAUGUGUCCGUGACACUAAAAAGAUUGGGAAACACUGACCUAGAUUACACCAAUAGCCCCUCUGUGCUUCUGGAUCUCUUCUGUUGGCAAAAACAAGCUCAGGUCUCUCCCAUUUAUACCAGACAUGUAAGUUAACAUGCCUGCUCUACCCAACACCUCUCUCUGCCUUCAGGCCUUACUCAGGGAAGUCACAACGGGUUGCUCGUCCAUACAGGAUCAAGGACAGGUUGGCCUGUUGGCCAGACGCCCAGCACAAACAGCUCAGCCCAGUGAGGGAGAGUCAUUAGAUGAAGAAAUGGAAGCUCAAAGAAGGUCAGCACAUUGCUCCAGUCACACAGGCAGUGAAUGGCCAGGCAAAGACUGGGUCCAAGGUCCCUGUUCUUGACCCGCAUACUUCACUACUUCCCUUAGGCAACACUCUCUGCCUAAAUGCCCUGUUCCUCAUUUUGUCUGCCUGAGAAACCCCUCUUUAUCCUUCAAGAUUUAGCUUGGAUGUCACCUCCUUCAGGAAGCCUUCUCUAACUUCGUACAGAGUUAAGCAUCUAUCUACGUUCAUAUUUCAAUAACAGGCUUAUUUCAUUGCCCUAAUUACCUGCUCACCAGCCAUCUCCCUCAGGAAGGCAGGGACUCUGUCUUACGACCUGUCUUCCUGGUGUCUAGCCCAGAGAAGGUACUCAACAUUCAGGUGAUGGUCAUUGGCCAAAGGAUCAAGAAAGGUAAAAGAGCUGACGAACUGAUGAAGGGUGAUCAGAAAGGAAUUCAGAUCCAUACGAGUAAGGAUGGGAGUCCAGAGACAUACAGGGACCCUGAAACUACUGACUAGUCCACAUGGCCCCUGGUACAACAUCCUCCAAUGCCCAUCCAUUGGGCAGUGUUUACGUGAUGUCCAACUUCUCCACUAGCCUGUAAGCAUCCUAGAGCCACCGAUGUCCAUCACUGUGUUCCGAGCACCCACGACAAUGCCUGACACAGGUAGGUCACUGCUGAAUGAAUGAGCGAAUGCAUAUACAAAUAAUCAAUGAGGAGCUCCCUGACCAGCAACACAAAUCCCUAGUCUGAUGCCACAAUGGGGAGAAACCACUUAACUUUGUCCACACUUGCACCUCCCUGUAAAAGCAACGAGUUGGCAGACCGGUUUUCUUGUUGAUAUACAUGGGUCAGCUCAUUCUCCCGGCCUUCCCGAUCCUCUGGCUGGCGACAUUCCUCCACCCACACCACCUGAGAGGCUUAGCAAUAUGAGGCAACAUUUCACAGGGUAAGCCUCGGAUUGCCUGAGUCACCUGAUGACUGGAAGCCAACUCUGGCACUGCUCAGGACUGGGAGCAGAGUGACUGGGUCGUCUGGAAGGCAGCCACACAGUGGCUGAAGACUCAGAGAGUGCCCAAGGGGAUUAAGGAUGAGGGAAUGGAAGCACAUGUCAUCCCCAACCACCUAACUCCAGACGGUGCCCAAAGGGCCAACUUCCCACCCAAAGAAGAAAUGAUGGCAGUGGUAAUGAUAAUGAUGAUAAACUUGGCCAUCAUUUACUAUUUAUGUGUCCGGCAUUGUGCUAAAUGCUCUAUACACAUUUUCUAUUUAAUCACCUCAAUCAUUUAAUAGAUGAGGACAGUAAAGCUUAGAGAGAGAAAAUAUGUCAUCUAAGCUCACACAGCCAGUGAGGGUGAGGAGGGCUGGGGCUUGAGCUGUAUGUGCUUAACCAGCCUUCCCAGCUCCCACAACCAACGGUGCUCCAUGACAAUGCAGCUGAGACAGCUGAGUCUACGCUCAGUCCACUUGGAGGAGUUAGAGAGCUCUUCCUCAUACCAAGUGAGCUGAAAUAUGUCUUGAUGCCACCUCCACUGGGAGCUCCUUUUCCUUGUCUUUGGAGCAUCCUGGAAGAGGCUCCAUUCCUUUUCCCCAUGAGGACUCUCUCUGUCACCAGCUCCCACAGGACACAAGCUAAAACAACUCUUCGUUUUUCCAUUUAUCUAAAAACUCCAAUUAAAAGCUUUCCCAAUUAGAGAUCCCAAAAAGGAUCCAUUGCCCAGGCAGUGGGGUCUGCAAUAUUCCUCACUCAUCAGGUCCCUGUGGAUACCGCCCACCCCAUAACCCACAGACAAGAUUACCCGCAGAACAAAAGGAGGACUAAAGGCAGACUGGACUUGGCCUGCCCCUCACUGGUGAUCUGGACAGAGAUUUCCCCAGGCAGGGCAAAGAAAGGGGCCUCCUAGAGCCCCUGCAUAGCUGGGACCCGCCCUCACUUCGGCCCUCCUUUGACUGGGAGCCACUUGUGUACUCAAGAGCUUCUUUUUAAUACACGGCUCUCACCCUGACUCCUCUGGCUAGUGGCAAAGCCUCAUCCUAAGCUUGUCUGCACAGGGGUGGGGACUCUACCAUCUCCAAUUCCUCAGAGGAAUAAUAAUAAGACUAUCAACCAGGCUUAUGAAUAAAAAUUUUUUUUUUAAAUCUCUCUAGUCUUUGACAAAUGUCUAAAUGUGUUCCCCACAAGCAUAUUUUUAUUCUAACAAGCUAAUUUGAAAUAUAAUUUAAAUAAAUUCUACCAGAAUGAUACCAUAUGACUAACAGCACCCCGGUGGCAGAACUACUGGAGUCUUCAUCAUGCAUUCAGAGGCUCCCAUCCUGCCGUUCUUCCCACACAAAACGCACCCCGCUAGGAAACUGGAUCAUGAUGCCAGCUCUCACCUCCAAACCUAUAAAUACGACUUGGGGGCAGUCUGUGUGCACAAUACCUAGAAAAUGCAGACACAUAACAAGCAGUGCUUAAAAGACCAGUGGAUCAAAACCAAUGCAAAUUAGAAGCUUUAUGCCCCAAUUCCUCACAAUGCUUCUUUUUGCUCAAUUUAUUUUCACCCUGGGGGGAAAAAACAAAGUCUAACUCUCAAGAUCUAUAAAGUCAGGACUUGAUACACCACAGAUUUCUAACAUUCAGAAAAAUGCCUUUUCUCUAUUGUAAAUAUGCUAUUUGACUGCUGUUCACGUUUGACAAAGGUGAAGAAGGUUUUUCUUGUCAAAUGGAAAAGGGGUCCCUGCCCUCAGCCCCACCCCGUGUAUCAAAGAGAAGUUCUUUAUCCAAAGGUUUUAGAUGUUUGUGCAGGCUGUGGUGACAUUUCAGUGGAUUUGCCCACGGUUUUUUUUUUUUAAAUUUUUAAUUUCCCUUCAUACUAAAACAGGAAAUAUAAUGUCCUUCCUUUUGUAUACAUCCCUGCCAACUGGCUCACUGGGGGAAUUCUCUUUGAAGGAGGGGGUGUGAUAUACACCAAAGAACCUUCAAAGCAGAAGGGGGCCUUCGAGGUAUGGGCAUGGGUGCUUCCUGCUUGCAAAGAGCCUUCUCAUCCAAGUCUUAAAGCAGAAUUACUCGGCCCUGAUAUUUCCAAACAAGGAGAAACAAUUUGAGCAGCUGGGUCUCGGUCCACCAACCAACCUUAGCAACAACGAUGAAUCCUUGAUGUUCUUACCAAGAUUCACUAAGGAGCCGUGACUCACCCAAAUGACACAGGCACUGCAAAUUACCCAAUGUUAAUUGUGAUCUUGGUCUCCUCUACCAUUUCUUUCCUUCAGUAAUUCAUUUAAAGCAAACAACUGCUUUAAGAAAUUGUUAAAAUGUCUUAAAAAAAAAAAAAAAAAGAGCCUGUCUUGUUCCAGAAAGGAUUUAAAUAGGUUUACAAAGAUGUAUAAGAUUUAGCAAAAUGACAAAUUAGAAGUAGGUGUGGAUUUAAAUGAUGAGGUAUUUUUAUAGUUAUUGGCAUGUAAAGAUGUCCACUCAAGAUAUUUUAAGUUGGAAAAAUUAUGUUACAAGACAGAUGUAUAAAAUGAUUGCAUUUUGUUAAAAAUAGACUUGCUCUAUGUAGACAUACAUCUAGACACACACAGACAUAUAUACAUGGAAAAAAGUACAAAGGCAGACAUUGAAAUGCUGAUGGAGGUUAUCCCUAAGACGUGGGAUGACAAGUAAUUUUCACUUCCUUCUUUAUGCUGUUAUUUUUCAGUAUAAACAUGUAGUUUUUUUAUAAUUAGAAAAAAGCAAAGCUAUUUUCCUUUUGUUAAAAAAAAAAGAAAAAGAAAA
rnacentral:lncRNA from 1 species